GCGGAGGGCUGGAUGGCCGCGGUCCUGGCAACAGGGUCGAGGAAAGUCCGGACUCCAAGAAAAAACGGUGCCGGGUAACGCCCGGGCGGGGCAACCCGACGGAUAGCGCCACAGAAAACAAACCGCCAACCCCGGCGGGUCGGGCAACCGAUACCACCGGGGCGGUAAGGGUGAAACGGUGCGGUAAGAGCGCACCGCGGGGAUGGUAACAUCGCUGGCACGGCAAGCCCCACCGGGAGCAAUGCCAAAUAGGGACCGCGUGCUGCGUCUGGCAACAGACACAGCGGGGCUUUUUCUGCCCCAGCAGGUCCGGGUUGGCAGCUAUAGCCCUGCAGGUAACUGCAGGGUCAGAGGAAUGGUCAUCCCCUGUCUUCGGGCAGGGACAAAAUCCGGCUUAUAGGCCCUCCGCGCAU
rnacentral:RNase_P_RNA from 1 species